rnacentral:rRNA from 1 species
UACGUAGGGCGCGAGCGUUGUCCGGAAUUAUUGGGCGUAAAGAGCUCGUAGGCGGCUUGUCGCGUCGACUGUGAAAACCCGUGGCUCAACCAUGCGGUCUGCAGUCGAUACGGGCAGGCUAGAAUUCGGUAGGGGAGACUGGAAUUCCUGGUGUAGCGGUGAAAUGCGCAGAUAUCGGGAGGAACACCAAUUGCGAAGGCAGCUCGCUGGGACGUCACUGACGCUGAGACGCGAAAGCGUGGGGAGCAAACAGG